rnacentral:rRNA from 1 species
GACGAACGCUGGCGGCGUGCUUAACACAUGCAAGUCGAACGGUGAAGCGCCUUCCUUUUUGGUGGGUUGGGAGGAGUGGCGAACGGGUGAGUAACACGUGAGUAACCUGCCCCCUUCUGCUGGAUAACCGCAUGACAGUGUGGCUAAUACGGGAUAUUCUGGGUCUGUCGCAUGAUAGGUCUGGGAAGGAUAUUGUGUCGGUUGGGGAUGGGCUCGCGGCCUAUCAGCUUGUUGGUGGGGUGAUGGCCUACCAAGGCGGUGACGAGUCGACGGCCUGGGAUGGUGGACGGCCAUGCAGGGGAUGCGCCGCGGCGCAUACUACGGCGGGCGGCAGUAGGGAGGAAUAGGGCACGGUGGGAGCAAUGCUGAUGCAGCGACGCCGCGUGAGGGAUGGUGGCCUGCGCGUUGUGAUCCUCUUUCGGGAGAGAACCAAUCCUGCCUUGUUUGUGCAUGGCUUGACGGUAGCUGGAUAAGAAGCGACGGCUAACUACGUG